rnacentral:lncRNA from 1 species
UUCAGUUCAAUCCAGCCGGUCUGGUUGAGUAACACAGUCCAGGGACUGUGUCUAUGGUUGCUCCGCGGGCCGCUUUGCCGGCUGGUGCUUUUGUAUCAGGGCAAGCAGUAUUCCAUGGCAGGGAACUUCUGGCAGAGCUCCCACUAUUUGCAGUGGAUUUUGGAUAAACAAGAUCUGUUGAAAGAGCGCCAGAAGGACCUAAAGUUUCUCUCAGAAGAGGAGUAUUGGAAAUUACAAAUAUUUUUUACAAAUGUUAUCCAAGCAUUAGGGGAACAUCUUAAAUUAAGACAACAAGUUAUUGCUACUGCUACAGUCUAUUUCAAGAGAUUCUAUGCCAGGUAUUCUCUGAAAAGUAUAGAUCCUGUAUUAAUGGCUCCUACAUGUGUGUUUCUGGCAUCCAAAGUAGAGGAAUUUGGUGUCGUCUCAAAUACAAGAUUGAUUGCUGCUACUACUUCUGUAUUAAAAACUAGAUUUUCAUAUGCCUUUCCAAAGGAAUUUCCUUACAGGAUGAAUCAUAUACUAGAAUGUGAAUUUUACCUCUUAGAAUUAAUGGACUGUUGCUUGAUAGUGUAUCAUCCUUAUAGACCUUUGCUCCAGUAUGUGCAGGACAUGGGCCAAGAAGACGUGUUGCUUCCCCUUGCAUGGAGGAUAGUGAAUGACACCUACAGGACGGAUCUUUGUCUUCUGUAUCCUCCUUUCAUGAUAGCUUUAGCUUGCCUACAUGUAGCCUGUGUUGUACAACAGAAAGACGCUAGACAAUGGUUUGCAGAACUUUCUGUGGAUAUGGAGAAGAUUUUGGAAAUAAUCAGGGUUAUUUUAAAACUGUAUGAGCAGUGGAAGAAUUUUGAUGAGAGAAAAGAGAUGGCGACUAUUCUUAGUAAGAUGCCGAAACCAAAACCACCUCCGAACAGCUCCCUGAGUGAUUCUCCACUAAUGGCAG